AUGGUUAAAAGCUCUUAUCCUAUCAGCUCAAGUGAAUCAAGGUGGGAGGAGGUGAAGCAAUUGGAGCGGGCAGUUUUUAAGGCUGCACUGAGUAUAAGGGGAGUUAAGUGGAGACAAGCCCCAGACAGAACCAGUGGACCUGGUGUCACAUCUAACAGCUGUGUGAAGCAGUGCCCUAUCCCCUGGCAUAGCCAGAAGGAGAUGUGGAAGGAGGAAAUUCAAAGAGGAGGGAUGGAGGAGAAAAAUGAGAUGUUUCCAAAAGCUGUUGUGUACCAAAACGUGCACUGUAGAACUAGUGCUCAUUUUGUUUGGUGGGAGACACUGCAGCCAGCAAUAGACAAACAAAAACAGAAGGGAAGAGCACCAAAGCCACCAAGAAUAAAGCCAGGACGACUGUGA
rnacentral:lncRNA from 1 species